GUUCAGGCUAGUGGAGAUUACAAUGCAAAACUUGGCGUCACAAUUCUUGGUGAAUCUGUUAUUGUAGAAGACGAGGUUGUGGUUGUUAAUAGCAUCGUUCUUCCUCACAAGACCCUAAAUGUGGGUGUUCAAGAUGAGAUACUCUUAUAGGUCCUCCUCACAAGACUCUGUUUGAUUCCUUAUAGUUGUAUUUGCUUUUUAUUAUUGUUAUUAUUACUAGUGGGUGACAGUUCCAUGUUGGAAGCCAAGGACAGAAAAUGUAGCGUGCUAUUUAUUGCGUUUGUAAAGUGACCUUUAUUGAUCAAGCUGUUGGUUGAUGAGCAUGGACACUACUAAUUGGUGUUCUACAAAAA